CCUACGGGAGGCAGCAGUGGGGAAUAUUGGACAAUGGGGGCAACCCUGAUCCAGCCAUGCCGCGUGUGUGAAGAAGGCCCUCGGGUUGUAAAGCACUUUCAGUGAGGAAGAACGCCUGGUGGUUAAUACCCAUCAGGAAAGACAUCACUCACAGAAGAAGCACCGGCUAACUCCGUGCCAGCAGCCGCGGUAAUACGGAGGGUGCGAGCGUCAAUCGGAAUUACUGGGCGUAAAGCGCGCGUAGGUGGCUUGAUAAGCCGGUUGUGAAAGCCCCGGGCUCAACCUGGGAACGGCAUCCGGAACUGUCAAGCUAGAGUGCAGGAGAGGAAGGUAGAAUUCCCGGUGUAGAGGUGAAAUGCGUAGAGAUCGGGAGGAAUACCAGUGGCGAAGGCGGCCUUCUGGACUGACACUGACACUGAGGUGCGAAAGCGUGGGUAGCAAACAGGAUUAGAUACCCUAGUAGUC
rnacentral:rRNA from 1 species